rnacentral:rRNA from 1 species
GACAGAGGGUGCAAACGUUGUUCGGAAUUACUGGGCGUAAAGCGCGUGUAGGCGGCUAUGCAAGUCGGAUGUGAAAGCCCUCGGCUCAACCGGGGAAGUGCACCCGAAACUGCAAAGCUAGAGUCUCGGAGAGGAUCGUGGAAUUCUCGGUGUAGAGGUGAAAUUCGUAGAUAUCGAGAGGAACACCGGUGUCGAAGGCGGCGAUCUGGACGAUGACUGACGCUGAGACGCGAAAGCGUGGGGAGCAAACAGG